rnacentral:rRNA from 1 species
UUGAAAGGGAAACGAUUGAAGUCAGUCGUACCAGCGGGAAAUCAACCUUUCGAGUGGGGGUUUUGGAGUUUUUUGAAGAGUGUCAAAACCUUUGAGAUUUCAAAAUAUUCGCUCUUUUGGUGUACUUUCUCGUGGGUAGGUUAACAUCGAUUUUGAUCAUCAUAAAAAGGUUGGAGGAAUGUAGCUUCGAUCUUGUAUUGAAGUGUUAUAGCCUUUGGUAAAUGUGAUGAUUAGGAUCGAGGAUUGCAACGAAUACCCUUUUGGGCUAUCCGCCUGAUCUCUGAUACGUGGCCUUGGUAUCGAAAGCGUGCUUAUGGUAUUAAGGUAUUACGGUCAAAAGGUUAGAACGGAUUACAUUCGUUAAGGAUGUUGACGUA